GCUCGCCUAUAGACUGCGCUGAAGCCGCACCAAGAAGAAUGUCGACUUACGUUCCCAAGCCAUCGCGCGACAACGUGUACCGGUUCUUCUUCACGGAGGGCGUGAUCGCGUGCAAGAAGGACCGCAUGGGCACCUGGACGGGCACCCUCGGCGGCAACACCUUCACGGUUCCGUGCAUUCAGGUGAUGCAGUUGAUGCGCUCUCUGAAGAGCCGCAACCUGAUCAAGGAGCAGUACGCGUGGCGCCACUACUACUGGACGCUCAACGACGAAGGUAUUGCGUACAUGCGCAGCUACCUGCAUCUCGCUCCGUCUGCGAUGCCGAACACGCAGAAGCCGAGCAGCGUGAACUUCGAGAAGGUGACAGAGGGCCGCGGCCGCGGUCGUGGCCGUGGUGGCCGCGGACGUGGCGAGGGCCGUGGCCGCGGGCGUGGUGAGGGCCGUGGCCGUGGUCGUGGCCGUGGCUUCGGUGGCGAGCGCACGAACUACCGUGCCGCUGCCGCUGCAUCGGAUGGUGAGGCCGCCCCAGCCCCGGCUGCGGAGUAGAUGCGCCUGGUUGCCGCUUGCAAGCACGUUUCUUCCGGCUUGCCAUGCGAAGCCCGUGCGAUAUCUUCUCGCCCUGCGCUGUGUGUUGUGCUCGUAAGUUCUGUUUUACUUUUCUAUGAUUCUCAUUUCCUUGUUUCUAACGACGUUCUACC
rnacentral:misc_RNA from 1 species